rnacentral:rRNA from 2 species
CUGCGGAAGGAUCAUUGUUGAU